UGGGGAAUAUUGCACAAUGGGCGCAAGCCUGAUGCAGCCAUGCCGCGUGUAUGAAGAAGGCCUUCGGGUUGUAAAGUACUUUCAGCGGGGAGGAAGGGAGUAAAGUUAAUACCUUUGCUCAUUGACGUUACCCGCAGAAGAAGCACCGGCUAACUCCGUGCCAGCAGCCGCGGUAAUACGGAGGGUGCAAGCGUUAAUCGGAAUUACUGGGCGUAAAGCGCACGCAGGCGGUAUGUUAAGUCAGAUGUGAAAUCCCCGGGCUCAACCUGGGAACUGCAUCUGAUACUGGCAAGCUUGAGUCUCGUAGAGGGGGGUAGAAUUCCAGGUGUAGCGGUGAAAUGCGUAGAGAUCUGGAGGAAUACCGGUGGCGAAGGCGGCCCCCUGGACGAAGACUGACGCUCAGGUGCGAAAGCGUGGGGAGCAAACAGG
rnacentral:rRNA from 1 species